rnacentral:sRNA from 1 species
AGUUCGACCGGAUCCACCCCGCGGGUCACCACCAGGUAGUCGCGCAUCACGGUCGAAUGCCGCAUCUC